rnacentral:rRNA from 1 species
UACAGAGGGGGCAAGCGUUAUUCGGAAUUAUUGGGCGUAAAGGGCGCGUAGGCGGCUUUGCAAGUGACGGGUGAAAUCCCUCGGCUUAACCGAGGAACUGCCUGUCAAACUGCAUGGCUUGAGACCGGGAGAGGCGAGUGGAAUUCCCAGUGUAGCGGUGAAAUUCGUAGAUAUGGGGAGGAACACCGGUGGCGAAGGCGGCCACCUGGACGGUAACUGACGCUGAGACGCGAAAGCGUGGGGAGCAAACAGG